rnacentral:rRNA from 1 species
UACGAAGGGGGCUAGCGUUGCUCGGAAUCACUGGGCGUAAAGGGUGCGUAGGCGGCUUUAUAAGUCCGUGGUGAAAGCCAACAGCUCAACUGUUGAACUGCCAUGGAUACUGUAAGGCUUGAGUACAGACGAGGUAGGCGGAAUGGAUGGUGUAGCGGUGAAAUGCAUAGAUACCAUCCAGAACACCGAUUGCGUAGGCAGCUUACUAGGCUGUAACUGACGCUGAGGCACGAAAGCGUGGGGAGCGAACAGG